AGUUGUGGAAGUCCUAUCCUUUAUAUCAGACAAACUAAACUGGAAAGAGCAUUGGUGGAUUAUUGCAAGAGCUCCUGGAGGGGACAAGGCCAGCCCUACUGAGACCCAGUGAUCUACUAGGCCAGAUCUUGACUGCUGAUCUUGAACUUAAGUUUUAGUGACUUCAACAGAACUACUUGGAAAGCCAGUGGUGUGGUGCCUUGCUGAGAGUAUCCCUAGCUGCUCCACACACAGCUGCUGAGGUCACCAGGCUGUAAGUAGCAGAACAAAAGUACAUCCUCUACCAUGAAACAAAAUCAAAGAGCUGGGAGCUUGAGCAACAGGCACAGGGAAAUCUAAAGUUCUGCAGACUCACCCAGUGGCUCCAUCCAGAAGCCUGGGCUCUGCUGAGGAACUCAAAGGAAACCCACCUGCAGAGCCUCAGCCAGCAGUGAGUCACAGCCCCUCUGGUGUGAGGGAGCAAACAGCCACAUCCAAGGAGCUCGACAGCCAUCAGCUGGGGGCUGCUUGGCUCUCACAUGACUCCCAGCUGUAAAUCACAAACAGGAAUAGAAACUCAGUGUACCUGAAUGUACUCAUUUUUUCC